GGGGAAAAAAGCAGCCGUGACCCUCUGCUAAAUGGCACCCGUAUGAGAGUACUGCAUCGACAGGUGAUACCAUUGGCAGCAUUGCACCUUGCUCAGUGAACAGCCAAGGCUAAGCCCAUAAAGCCUUUGCUCUGGCGUUAUCUUUGAAGUACGUUGGGAAAUUAAUUCUGCUCUUAAGGGAACAUGACAGAUUGGAGAAGGCUUCCACACUCCUCAGACAGAAGCAAGCCCACCAAGGCAGGAGCCAGGUCAGAGCAGUCUUUCUGUCUAUGAGAAAUCACUGUUGAUCAGUUCAAAGCAGCGUUGAGUUGUGAUGGUUUGGGCUGUGGGUUGGGUAGGAACCAAAUGUGUUUGCUGCCUGUCUGGAUUAUCUGACCUUCAUCUCUCCUGGCAGAGACAGGAUAAGACCUGCAGGUGUCCUGGUGAGAGCAGCUUUGGCGGGGGGAGAGUGCCUCUCCCAGAACCGCAG
rnacentral:lncRNA from 1 species